UGUGACGCCCCCAAAAUAGGUCCAUUCCAUCCAACCCAUUCUGAGUCGCCAAAUACAUGGUACAGAAAUAACUACAACUUUAUUAUUACAUUUGUCGUGCAAAAUACGACAACAUAUAUAUACUGUGAGUUUAAAAACAAUUAUUGUCUUCUAGACAAUAUACAUACCCAAAUAAAUCCUCAUCACAAUUAUUGAUACAUUAUUUUACAACAAUGGUGGGGACUACUAAACAACUCUCCCUAGAACUUUCAUUCCAUACCCCGACUCGUACUCGCUAUAUUCUCGCCUCCUGAGAAGAAAAAUGGAACAAAAAGGAAAAGGGUGAGCUCAACUAG
rnacentral:lncRNA from 1 species